rnacentral:rRNA from 1 species
GACGAACGCUGGCGGCGUGCUUAACACAUGCAAGUCGAACGGAAAGGCCCUGCUUUUGUGGGGUGCUCGAGUGGCGAACGGGUGAGUAACACGUGAGUAACCUGCCCUUGACUUUGGGAUAACUUCAGGAAACUGGGGCUAAUACCGGAUAGGAGCUCCUGCUGCAUGGUGGGGGUUGGAAAGUUUCGGCGGUUGGGGAUGGACUCGCGGCUUAUCAGCUUGUUGGUGGGGUAGUGGCUUACCAAGGCUUUGACGGGUAGCCGGCCUGGGAGGGUGACCGGCCACCUUGGGCCUGAGAGACGGCCCAGACUCCUACGGGAGGCAGCAGUGGCGAAUAUUGCCCAAUGGGCGGGAGCCUGAUGCAGCAACGCCGCGUGCGGGAUGACGGCCUUCGGGUUGUAAACCGCUUUCGCCUGUGACGAAGCGUGAGUGACGGUAAUGGGUAAAGAAGCACCGGCUAACUACGUG